UGCCUCGAGAGCAAUGGGGAUGGUUGAUGAAUUUCUAUGCAAGGAUUUGUAGAGGAAAUGAGUAGUAACGAAAGUGACUUUGAUUCCUUUGUGUUGUAAGCGCUUGGAGAAUUGGAGCAUGGGAUUUAUAUGGCCUUGUCCUGGAUAGGUUAAGACCAAACAGUGAGCCAAUUUGCUGGAGGAAGCUUUCUUUUCAUUAUUCGCCAUUUAUUUUUUGCUCUCUCUCUCUCUCUCUCUAUCCCGUCGCUCAUGUAUUGAUUGAUAGGAAAGUUCAAGACAUAAUAUAUAGGGUCACCUUAUGAUACGUAACAUACACACUCACAGCAAUAAUAACAAAUCCUAUCAUUAAUAUUGUUACUGUAAAUGUGUGUAUGUUACACUCAAUCGUAACAUAGCAGUAGCAGGUGGCCUAAUAUAUAUCUUGCAUCAUAAAUUGUUUGAAGUCAUUGCAUACGUCUGCGAAUGUGACUUGACGCAUCUGCUCAUAAAUUAAAAAACUUGAGGUGGUGAUCCAUCAAAUCAUGUCACAUUCCAGUCGGGUAAACAACUUUGCGCUUUCUUCUCAUUUGCAUCAUACAUCAUAGGUCAUACGAAUUUUUUCUUAAAGCUCUUGGAGAAUUGGAGCAUGGGAUUUAGAUGGCCUUGUCCUGGAUAGGUUAAGACCAAACAGUGAGCCAAUUUGCUGGAGGAAGCUUUCUUUUCAUUAUUCGCCAUUUAUUUUUUGCUCUCUCUCUCUCUCUCUCUAUCCCGUCGCUCAUGUAUUGAUUGAUAGGAAAGUUCAAGACAUAAUAUAUAGGGUCACCUUAUGAUACGUAACAUACACACUCACAGCAAUAAUAACAAAUCCUAUCAUUAAUAUUGUUACUGUAAAUGUGUGUAUGUUACACUCAAUCGUAACAUAGCAGUAGCAGGUGGCCUAAUAUAUAUCUUGCAUCAUAAAUUGUUUGAAGUCAUUGCAUACGUCUGCGAAUGUGACUUGACGCAUCUGCUCAUAAAUUAAAAAACUUGAGGUGGUGAUCCAUCAAAUCAUGUCACAUUCCAGUCGGGUAAACAACUUUGCGCUUUCUUCUCAUUUGCAUCAUACAUCAUAGGUCAUACGAAUUUUUUCUUAAAGCUCUUGGAGAAUUGGAGCAUGGGAUUUAGAUGGCCUUGUCCUGGAUAGGUUAAGACCAAACAGUGAGCCAAUUUGCUGGAGGAAGCUUUCUUUUCAUUAUUCGCCAUUUAUUUUUUGCUCUCUCUCUCUCUAU
rnacentral:lncRNA from 1 species